rnacentral:lncRNA from 1 species
AUGAUUUGGAGAGUAAGAUCAACAUAUAGGCCUAGACCAAGGAGAAGCGUACCACCUCCUGAGCUGAUUGGGCCUAUGCUGGAGCCCAGUGAUGAGGAACCUCAGCAAGAGGAACCACCAACUGAAAGUCGGGAUCCUACACCUGGUGAGGAGAGAGAAGAUCAGGGUACCUGACCUGGAAACUGAUCUCCAGGAGCUGUCUCAGUCAAAGACUGGGGAUGAAUGCAGAGAUGGUCCCGAUGACAAGGGGAAGAUUCUGCCAAAAUCAGAGCAAUUUAAAAUGCCAGAAGGAG